GACGAACGCUGGCGGCGUGCUUAACACAUACAAGUCGAACGGAAAGGCCCUGCUUUUGUGGGGUGCUCGAGUGGCGAACGGGUGAGUAACACGUGAGUAACCUGCCCUUGACUUUGGGAUAACUUCAGGAAACUGGGGCUAAUACCGGAUAGGAGCUCCUGCUGCAUGGUGGGGGUUGGAAAGUUUCGGCGGUUGGGGAUGGACUCGCGGCUUAUCAGCUUGUUGGUGGGGUAGUGGCUUACCAAGGCUUUGACGGGUAGCCGGCCUGAGAGGGUGACCGGCCACAUUGGGACUGAGAUACGGCCCAGACUCCUACGGGAGGCAGCAGUGGGGAAUAUUGCACAAUGGGCAGAAGCCUGAUGCAGCAACGCCGCGUGCGGGAUGACGGCCUUCGGGUUGUAAACCGCUUUCGCCUGUGACGAAGCGUGAGUGACGGUAAUGGGUAAAGAAGCACCGGCUAACUACGUG
rnacentral:rRNA from 1 species